rnacentral:rRNA from 1 species
UACGGAGGGUGCAAGCGUUAUCCGGAUUCACUGGGUUUAAAGGGUGCGUAGGAGGGCAGGUAAGUCAGUGGUGAAAUCCCCGAGCUUAACUUGGGAACUGCCGUUGAUACUAUCUGUCUUGAAUAUUGUGGAGGUGAGCGGAAUAUGUCAUGUAGCGGUGAAAUGACUUAGAUAUGACAUAGAACACCAAUUGCGAAGGCAGCUCACUACACGAAUAUUGACACUGAGGCACGAAAGCGUGGGGAUCAAACAGG